UAUAUGAAGGUGUAUAUAGUUUGGCCUGCUCACUGAUUAAAUUAAAGAGCCGCAGUAUUUUGACUGUGCGAAGGUAGCAUAAUAAAUUGUCUUUUAAUUAAAGGCUUGAAUGAAAGGUUGGACAAAGUAUCAUCUGUUUCUUAAAUAUUUAUUGAAUUUGACUUUUAAGUGAAAAGGCUUAAAUAAAUCAAAAAGACGAUAAGACCCUAUAAAUCUUUACAAUAAAUAUAUUUUAUAUUUUAGCUUAUAAGUAAAUAAGAAAUAAAAAUAUAGGUUUGUUACGCUGGGGCGGCGUAGAUAUAUAAAUAAACUGUCUAUAGUUUAAAUACAAUAAUUAUUGCUUAAUACAAAUUGAUCCUUAAAUAGAUUAAAAGAUUAAGAUACUUUAGGGAUAACAGCGUUAUUUUUUUUGAGAGUUCUUAUCGAAGAAAAAGUUUGCGACCUCGAUGUUGAAUUAAAGUAUCUUUAUGGUGUAGCCGCUAUAAGAGAGAGUCUGUUCGACUUUUAAUACUUUACGUGAU
rnacentral:rRNA from 1 species